UACGUAGGGGGCAAGCGUUGUCCGGAAUCAUUGGGCGGAAAGAGCGCGUAGGCGGCCCUGUAAGUCCGCUGUGAAAGUCAAGGGCUCAACCCUUGGAUGCCGGUGGAUACUGCAGGGCUAGAGUCCGGAAGAGGCGAGUGGAAUUCCUGGUGUAGCGGUGAAAUGCGCAGAUAUCGGGAGGAACACCAGUGGCGAAGGCGACUACCUGGCCUGUUUCUUGACGCUGAGGCGCGAAAGCUAGGGGAGCAAACGGG
rnacentral:rRNA from 1 species